AAGAUUAAACCAGCUUAAGCAGGUUAUUAUACAUAUAUUGACCCAAUAAUUUGAUCAACGGAACAAGUUACCCUAGGGAUAACAGCACAAUCCUAUUCUAUAGUCCAUAUCAACAAUAGGGUUUACAACCUCGAUGUUGCAUCAGGACAUCCUAAUGGUGUAGCCGCUAUCAAGGGUUCGUUUGUUCAAUGAUUAAAGUCCUACGUGAUCUGAGUUCAGACCAGAGCAAUCCAGGUCGGUUUCUAUCU
rnacentral:ncRNA from 1 species